rnacentral:rRNA from 1 species
GGAUGAACGCUGGCGGCGUGCCUAAUACAUGCAAGUCGAGCGAACGGACGAGAAGCUUGCUUCUCUGAUGUUAGCGGCGGACGGGUGAGUAACACGUGGAUAACCUACCUAUAAGACUGGGAUAACUUCGGGAAACCGGAGCUAAUACCUGAUAAUAUUUUGAACCGCAUGGUUCAAAAGUGAAAGACGGUCUUGCUGUCACUUAUAGAUGGAUCCGCGCUGCAUUAGCUAGUUGGUAAGGUAACGGCUUACCAAGGCAACGAUGCAUAGCCGACCUGAGAGGGUGAUCGGCCACACUGGAACUGAGACACGGUCCAGACUCCUACGGGAGGCAGCAGUAGGGAAUCUUCCGCAAUGGGCGAAAGCCUGACGGAGCAACGCCGCGUGAGUGAUGAAGGUCUUCGGAUCGUAAAACUCUGUUAUUAGGGAAGAACAUAUGUGUAAGUAACUGUGCACAUCUUGACGGUACCUAAUCAGAAAGCCACGGCUAACUACGUG